GACGAACGCUGGCGGCGUGCUUAACACAUGCAAGUCGAACGGAAAGGCCCUGCUUUUGUGGGGUGCUCGAGUGGCGAACGGGUGAGUAACACGUGAGUAACCUGCCCUUGACUUUGGGAUAACUUCAGGAAACUGGGGCUAAUACCGGAUAGGAGCUCCUGCUGCAUGGUGGGGGUUGGAAAGUUUCGGCGGUUGGGGAUGGACUCGCGGCUUAUCAGCUUGUUGGUGGGGUAGUGGCUUACCAAGGCUUUGACGGGUAGCCGGCCUGAGAGGGUGACCGGCGACAUUGGGACUGAGAUACGGCCCAGACUCCUACGGGAGGCAGCAGUGGGGAAUAUUGCACAAUGGGCGGAAGCCUGAGGCAGCAACGCCGCGUGCGGGAUGACGGCCUUCGGGUUGUAAACCGCUUUCGCCUGUGACGAAGCGUGAGUGACGGUAAUGGGUAAAGAAGCACCGGCUAACUACGUG
rnacentral:rRNA from 1 species